rnacentral:lncRNA from 1 species
UUUAGUCUCUCAUAUUUAAAAUCAAUCAAAAUAGUCCCUUAGAUAUUAAAAAAAAUUGUGCUCCUUAAUGGCUUAAUCCAGAGCUGAUUUUCAAUCACUUUUCCAACUAAAAAGCGCACACCUAAUUCACAUGCUUACAAUUUAAGGGUAAAAUGGGAAUAUAAUUUUUUUCAGAAAAAAAAAGUACAUGACAAUCACAUGACCAUCUUCCAAACAGGGAACCCUAAUUUUUAUCCACCAAACCCAAAAAGUAAGGUCACCCGUACCUUUGCAUUUUUUUCACCCAUGUAGCAUCUGUCUCACUAUAAACUACUUUAAAAAUUGUAAAAGUGAGUUAAAAUGAGUAUUGUAUGAUGAUCUUAGAAAUUUUACCUAACUAAAAAAUAAAAUAAGUUACGAGUCACUGCAUAGAUCAACCUACUUAUAUAUUUAUCUAGAUGAAAUCAGUGUGAGAGGAGGUGUCCAAACUCUCGAGGGUGAUUGAGUUUUUAGCAAAGAAAGCUUUCCAUGAGAGCGAAAAGGUGGAGGUAAGCUUUUAAUUUCAUUUUACUUGCACUGAAUCUUAGGCAUCAUUUGGAUUGAAGGAAAGAGAAGAAAAGUAAAGGAGAGAACUCUAUUGAAAAAGAAAAGAAAAGAGUUCCAAAGGAAAUCAGAAUCCAUGCAUUUUAUUUGGAUUACAAAAGGAAUUGAAAGGAAACCACUACGAGUUAGUUAGCUUCUUAUCCAUAAUUUAAAAAAUUAAUUUGUAAACACAUAAUAGCUUUUUGGGUAAAAUACACUAAACUCCCUUAUGGUUUGAAUUAUUUUCAUAAAACCUCCUCAUUGUUUAAAAACUCCAAAAGAACCCCUCGUGGUUUGGAUUAAUUUGGCCAACAAUGGAAAUCAUCUAAUUUAACAGAAAAAUAUGAAAUUUCUAUAUUAACCUUGUUCAACCUAUACUAAAAGUUAGAUCAGGGUUUACAUAAGAUUUUAAAAAAUUUCUCACUUCAUUUGAGAAUAAAGAAACAUCAAGUGGCUCAUUUGAAAUUUCAAAACUAAUCAUCUUCUCCAAAUCUCCAUUUUUUACUUUGACAACAGUAGAACAGCCACCAAUUACCAGCCACCGUUCAACUGAAAAUCCAAAUCAAGACAAGACCCAAAUUUUACUUUCUUAAUUCUCUCAAAUCUUGCAUAUUCAUGGAGGAAUUUAUCACUGUUAUCAUUCUAUCUCAAAAAACUCCAUGAAAGAGCAAAACAAAUUUCAAACUCCUCAACAAAUUCACAACUCACCCACGGUACUAUUGUUACUGCUGCCAACACCGUCGUCAAGGUUUCAUCAUUGGCAGCAUCAUUCUUUACAUUAGGCACAAGCAUAAGGUUUCAUCAUCGUCAUCAUCGUUCCAAGAUCGAGAAAUUGCUAACAACCCAUCGCCUUACUACUAUUAUCAUUGAACACUGAACCAGUCGAGGCAGUGAUCAGACGCAAGCUGUAAGAUUCCGCUAAGCUAAGCCCAUCCCGUCCAGACAAUGGUGUUAGUCAGUAGACACAUACAGGAAUUUUUAGGCAAAUUUAAGAUCCUUCAAAUAUAUAUAACCCUACCGCCAAUGGCCCACGAGCAGGGGUGCGUCUUCUACUCUGGCUUGUCCUCCUCAUUAAGGUGUUCUGUUAGUCUUGUAAGCUGACCCACUGAAGCAGAAGACCAAUUCUUUUCUUUCAAACUCCUGCUUUCUAUGUCCCCAACCACCUUCACUCCGCUUGUAAGUGAAAUAGCCUCUUCAUCAAAUUCAUCACCAGUCCCACGAGAGAAAGCUUACCUAGGAAGCCCAUCGAACAAUUAAAACUAUCAGCAGCCAACUAAAUUCAUCUGCUACAAUGAUGGAAGUGUACGAAUCAAUCUAUCAAUGGCAAUUUUUGCUGCUUGAACUGCCAUUGUCAUCACCUUCAUCGUCAUCUUCAACACCAUUGGAUCUCAGAUUUCAUCUAAAUUCUUGAAGUUUCAUGACUCUUCACGUGAAAUUGGUGACAAAUAAUUGUAAAUAGACUUUGGGACAAAAAUUUGGUGAAGUUUCAGCAAUAAAUUGUAGUGACUACCACGCAGCAGUAGAAGCGGUGGUGACACACCUCCAUCUCUGCUUUCUGGUUUGCUGCACCAGUAGAUGGGAGAGAGAGGGAAAAGAAAUAGAGAAGGUAAGAAGAAAAAAAGAAAAGUAAGAUUAACACAGGUUGGUGUUGAUUUUGCUUUUGUUUUGCUUCUAUUUUUCUACUCCAGAUGGUUCAGGAGAAAGAAGAAAAAGGAAGAACAAGGAA